rnacentral:rRNA from 1 species
GUUAGCGGCGGAACGGGUGAGUAACACGUGGGUAACCUGCCUGUAAGACUGGGAUAACUCCGGGAAACCGGGGCUAAUACCGGAUGGUUGUUUGAACCGCAUGGUUCAAACAUAAAAGGUGGCUUCGGCUACCACUUACAGAUGGACCCGCGGCGCAUUAGCUAGUUGGUGAGGUAACGGCUCACCAAGGCGAACGAUGCGUAGCCGACCUGAGAGGGUGAUCGGCCACACUGGGACUGAGACACGGCCCAGACUCCUACGGGAGGCAGCAGUAGGGAAUCUUCCGCAAUGGACGAAAGUCUGACGGAGCAACGCCGCGUGAGUGAUGAAGGUUUUCGGAUCGUAAAGCUCUGUUGUUAGGGAAGAACAAGUACCGUUCGAAUAGGGCGGUACCUUGACGGUACCUAACCAGAAAGCCACGGCUAACUACGUGCCAGCAGCCGCGGUAAUACGUAGGUGGCAAGCGUUGUCCGGAAUUAUUGGGCGUAAAGGGCUCGCAGGCGGUUUCUUAAGUCUGAUGUGAAAGCCCCCGGCUCAACCGGGGAGGGUCAUUGGAAACUGGGGAACUUGAGUGCAGAAGAGGAGAGUGGAAUUCCACGUGUAGCGGUGAAAUGCGUAGAGAUGUGGAGGAACACCAGUGGCGAAGGCGACUCUCUGGUCUGUAACUGACGCUGAGGAGCGAAAGCGUGGGGAGCGAACAGGAUUAGAUACCCUGGUAGUCCACGCCGUAAACGAUGAGUGCUAAGUGUUAGGGGGUUUCCGCCCCUUAGUGCUGCAGCUAACGCAUUAAGCACUCCGCCUGGGGAGUACGGUCGCAAGACUGAAACUCAAAGGAAUUGACGGGGGCCCGCACAAGCGGUGGAGCAUGUGGUUUAAUUCGAAGCAACGCGAAGAACCUUACCAGGUCUUGACAUCCUCUGACAAUCCUAGAGAUAGGACGUCCCCCUUCGGGGGCAGAGUGACAGGUGGUGCAUGGUUGUCGUCAGCUCGUGGUCGUGAGAUGUUGGGUUAAGUCCCGCAACGAGCGCAACCCUUUGAUCUUAGUUGCCAGCAUUCAGUUGGGCACUCUAAGGUGACUGCCGGUGACAAACCGGAGGAAGGUGGGGAUGACGUCAAAUCAUCAUGCCCCUUAUGACCUGGGCUACACACGUGCUACAAUGGACAGAACAAAGGGCAGCGAAAACCCGCGAGGUUAAGCCAAUCCCACAAAUCUGUUCUCAAGUUCGGAUCGCAGUCUGCAACUC